rnacentral:rRNA from 1 species
AUUGAACGCUGGCGGAAUGCUUUACACAUGCAAGUCGAACGGCAGCACGGGGCAACCUGGUGGCGAGUGGCGAACGGGUGAGUAAUACAUCGGAACGUGCCCAAUCGUGGGGGAUAACGUAGCGAAAGUUACGCUAAUACCGCAUACGAUCUACGGAUGAAAGUGGGGGAUCGCAAGACCUCACGUUAUAGGAGCGGCCGAUGUCCGAUUAGCUAGUUGGUGGGGUAAAGGCCUACCAAGGCGACGAUCGGUAGCUGGUCUGAGAGGAUGAUCAGCCACACUGGGACUGAGAUACGGCCCAGACUCCUACGGGAGGCAGCAGUGAGGAAUAUUGCGCAAUGGGCGAAAGCCUGACGCAGCAACGCCGCGUGUAGGAUGAAAUCUUUCGGGAUGUAAACUACUGUUAGAGGGGAAGAACUCCGGUUACGCCGGAAGUGACGGUACCCUCAGAGAAAGCCACGGCUAACUCUGUGCCAGCAGCCGCGGU